UGGGUCGACAGCUUGCACCCAUGGUUGUCAUCAUCUUCACCAAUCUGCCAGUCAAGUACUGGAACAACCUAACGAUGAUGGGUGCAGCGCUGUUCAUUACGUUUUGAGUUUAUGGCGUGGCCAAUGUGUAGCACCGUCAGUGUGUUGGAGCUUCUGUUAAUACUCACAAAGCUACUUAUGUUGAUAACCAAUCUCGAACAAAAUGAAAAUUAGUCUGCUUUUCCAAGUGGGUCUGCUAGCCGUGUUUUUGCCGUCAUUUUCGUUAUUUGUCUCUGUCAAACCUAGAGAUGCAGGCGGACGUGUCGGCAUCCAUCUGAAGCCGAAAAUGCAGUAAUCAUUACUCUUUUAGACUGCCAAAACGUUUUACAUUUGUUUACAGAGGGAGUAUUACUUAAAUUAUCGUGCUAGGUAUCAUGCGGUGCAUGCCUAGUCAAACCGCAAUGUGGCCUUUCACGUGGAUCCAGUUUAUUUACGACAGCAAAAAUAAGUGUGGCGUCAAAGAGUAUUGUGACAACUCUUUGAUAGCAGGGGGUAUAUUUUGAAGUGUGGCGUCAAGAGAAUAUUAAGACAAAUCUUUGAUAGAAGGGGGCAUUUUGAGUGACAUUUCUCCCAGUUGGAGGUACCAUCGUAUCCAUCUCCGGUUAACAUGGAGUUCUAUGCGCCAAACCAAGUAGACACAUUCGAAGUGGUGUAAGAGAAGUACACAACGAACUCCUAAAAUAAUAAAAUUUACAUUCAGAUCUAUAGAUCACCUAAUGAGGACUAUAAGCAUUGACGUGAACCGAAGGCACAUCGCCGUCAUCGCCCCUCCCUGUUAUAGCAAACAAUUAGAAAGUCUUUGUAUUAAGUCCUCACAGAAUAGCGCACCAAAACAAACCUGAAGACAUACGAAAGACGAACCGAGAACCGAGACAAUGGAUAUGGUUACCUUCGAUAUGAUCACAAAUAUUACAUACGCAUAUUUAUUUGAGGUGAUUUCUUAUAAAAGUUAUGCAAUAAUUUGUUUAUGCUACACGGAACAAAAAUACUUCACCUCUUGUUUUAUGCAUAAUUGCAGAACUACUGGACACUUGUACAAUCCACAUAUGAAGAUAAGGGAAAAUGAGAUGUUUAGGUGAUGUUCAAGAAGUUCUCUCACGUCAAUUUUAGCACAAGACGAUAAGGUCCAAGUCUCUCAUGUUCUGGACUCAGAUUCGGACUGCACAGACAUACCUGACUCAAAACGCCAAUAUCUCUAUCAUCCGGACUCCGAAUUGGGUGAUUUUUUGUGUUGAAAAGUAGAUUCCGUGCACUUUCCAACCCAAUUGGAUUCACUUUCAAAUUCGUCUGGAGCGUGGAGAUAUUGGCGAGAUAAUUUGACGCUACAGUAGAAUCCGAGUCAAACUACAAGUCCAAAUGUGUUGCAUCACCUCCACUUGGGCCCAUGAGCCUUGUAUGAGCUAGGGUUAGUUUAGGCUGCCUUGGGACGUUCUCCCACCUCCUUGGCCGCCAACCCUUGCUCCUAUAUAAGUAGGUCAAUCUAGUAGCUUUUUUCCUUGGGUUUAUUAGAUUAAAAGUUCGCCAUAGCUGCAACUUCGCGUACUUCGUUUGUAUUCAACGACCAGACCAAGAUGUCACAAAACCUCACCUUGAUCAAUAAAACUUUCAUCUUAUAUUCAUAAUAUCCAGAUUGCAAUCUCAGUUUCUUGCUUGUUCUUCGUUUGCUUGCAGGAGAUAGACCCGUGUGGUCAGGUUGAUCGUGCUCCGGCGUGCUCAAUAACCUCUCGGAGUUAGUUUAGUGAUUGCUAAGGCGCGAUGUCCUCGCACAUUCGUAGUCGGGUCGUCAAAGUCUACUCCUCCGAAACAAUAAUCACCUUCUCAUCGAAAGACGAGACACCUUAGCCUCUAUCAAGUGGUAUCAGAGGACACACCUUCACCACCACGAGAGGUGCAAUAACACACACAAGCACACGAUCAGGUUAUCUCUUUACCGUCAUUUGAGGGUAGAUUUAAUCCUGCUAUUUAUCUAGCUUGGGAGCAGAAGUAGAACAAGUUUUUACUCACCAUGUGUUUUUCUGAACUUGAGAGAGUAGGAGCUGCCACUAGAGCAUUUACUAGUUUUGCUUCUGUUUGGUGGAGUGUGCAUUGUAAGAAAAACAAUGAUAACCAACCCACAACUUGGAAAUAUUUGAAAGUUGUAAUGAGACAACACUUUUUCCUCCUUACGAUCGUCAUGAAUUGCUUCGCAAAUUGGAACAAUUAAAACAAGGCAGUGACACUGUUCAUGCUUACUAUCAAGAGUUCAAAUCUUAUAUGCAUCAUUGUGACAUGGAAGAAUCUGAGGAUGAUACAAUGAAUAGAUUUUUUGGUGGUUUGAACCAUGAUAUUCGCGCAAGAUUUCAGUAUAUUCCUCAUUGCAUUACUGGUAUGUAUGUUCGCGCUUGUACUUUUGAGAGACAAAUACAUGAGGAUGCAUUGGGUGACUACAACAACUACUAUUUCAGUUGAUGCUCACCACCACUGGUUGGUUCCUUCACCGUUGCACCUACUAGAGCAACCACACCACAAAUUGUGAGGGCGACAUCAUCUCAAGUGUAUGGUAUAUUGUCAUCGUCUGUACCUACAUCAGCUACGUCUUUGCGACAAGGUAACAGUAAAUGUAUUGAUGAUAUAACUUCACAUGAGAAUGAUGCAUGCCUAACUAACUUGAAUACAUCAUGUGUUGAGUUAUCUGUUGAUUUGAGCACACCACCUAUUUUAGAGAAUCGUGUUACUGUCGUGAAUGCAUCAUGUGAUCAAACAACCGAAAUACCAACAAUUUUGAGUGCACCCAUUGAGUUAACUAUUGAUCCAAAAGAACCAUGUGAAUCAGUGGAUAAAUCAGAUUUGGAUCAAAUACAUUUGAAAAUAAUUGUGCCAAUGUUUAAUCAUUUUGAUAUGACCUCUAAUUUUGGUGACGAUUCUGUGUCAAAUGACUUAUUGCAUGUUUGCUUAUUUAAGCAUGUUGUAGCAUGUAAAUUUGAUACAAGUAAGGUUUAUUCACUAAUGUUGGGAUGAUUUAAUGAUGAACAUUGUCAAUCUUGUGAUAUGUGGAGGAAAUAUACCCUAGAGGCAAUAAUAAAGUUGUUUUUACAUUUCCUUAUUCAUGAUAAAGGUUUAUUAUUCAUGCUAGAAUUGUAUUGAUCAGAAACUUACAUGUGUGAAUACAUCAACAAACACCGUGUCCCUAGUAAAUCUCUACUAGACUAACUCGUUGAUCAAAGAUGGUUAAGGUUUCCUAACCAUGGACAUGUGUUGUCAUUUGAUAAUGGGAUCACAUCAUUAGGAGAAUGAUGUGAUGGAUAAGACCCAUCCGUUAGCUUAGCAUAAUGAUCAUUCAAUUUUAUUGCUAUUGCUUUCUUCAUGUCAAAUACAUAUUCCUUCGACUAUACACUGGUACAACGAGGUGCUAUACAAAUAGUUUUUAACCCCUUUCCGCGACGGCACUUGGAACCGUCGCCAAGUGAGUGUGGGCGAUAGGGGGUCCUUCCCACACGACCCAGAAACCGUCGGGGACACGGAGCCUUGAUGCAAAGAGUUGCCCCUAUAUAACCGUUUCCGAUGUCUCGCAUAUCCGAAACGCUUCAUCCUUGCUACUCAUUUGUGCUCGCAUUGCCAUCAUAGUCGGAGUUUUGUGGUUUUACCUAAAACCAGGCAGAUUCCAGGCCCAGGAGUUUUCUAGGCAUGUACCAAACUGGCUCUACGUUUAUGAUGCCUGGCACAUCACAAACAGUUCAUGAUUAUAAACCGCGUAUGAUAGGUAGACAUUCACACACAUUUAGUUUUCCCACACCAUAUGUGAUAGUGUCGACAUCACACACGCUUUGCAAACAGCAACUAUGUGCAUUGUUACACACGUUUCCACUCCGUGAACCAUGUCGGAUUAUGAUGUAUAUCGCACACGCUGUACUUUAUUAACCGUGUGUGCCGUAAUAACCUGCACACCGUAAUUUCGCCCUAAUUUAAUUGCUGCUAUUUAAAAUUGUACCCAAUUUAAACUUGAAAGUAGGCUAGCUUUAUUCAUAUCCAUCAGGUUCAAACAACCAAUGCAUUAUUCAAUUCACAUGUACAUAUGUUUAAGAAUUACAUAAGCACCAAAUAAAGAAUGAUGAACCAGGGUUCUAUACUUGUACUAUUACAAAUGGUAAAGAAAGAGGCGACAUACAUUCUGGUUGCUGAACAAGGUGAAGCGGAAUGGCCCUAUUAUGCUUUCUUGGAUGCAGAAGGCACGCACGACUCUAGUCCAACCCCUUGUGAUGGCCGCCAGCCAAUCAUGUAGUUUGAGAGGUAAUCUUGAGUAAAUUGCUUCAGGAUCCACUGCAAAGGAAAAAAGUUUCAGACAUUGUCAUCUAACACAACUCAUUACGGGCAGUAAAAAGAAGGCUACAGGGUUCUUACUUACCAUCCUGCAGUUCACUGUUGUCUUGCAUAAAGUGUAAACAUAUAGUUUGAUUGACAUCUUUUGACCCAUUUUAAUAACAAUCUUUAUCAGUUUCCCCACUUGAUGCUGGUUCAUGAAUAUCUCAUUGCCCCAUACGCAGAAAGGGUCGAAGUGUGGAUCUUUGGCAAUGACAUGUGUACCUAAAAGCACCAAGUUAAGAAGCUAAACAACAAUUGCAAAAUGAUGUAGUACAACACUCCCUCCAUCCCAUUAUAUAAGAUUUUAUACACGUAUUUAUAUCUAGACAUCAUCAGAACAUUAAGGUAACACGAACAUUAAGGUAACACCCUUCCUUGUUACCAUGUAGCCUGGGAUUGCAUAUUUAGUGAUUAAGUACAAUGCAUGUUGCUAUGUAGCCUCAGAUAUAUUAAAUAUGACACUAGUUAACCUAUUGAUAAAUGGGUUACUGAUAUAUUCAGUGAAAUGUCCGAUUCGACGAUUAAUCCCUUAUCAACCCCCAGGCUAUAUGGUACCAGCUAACGAGAUCCUGAACAGUGAGUACAUAUAAGCAAUGUGAUGAAACUAACCUUGAUGGAAAAAACAACACUGUUCUCAAUAUUGUCCUGUAUGAGUACAUAUAAAGGCAUGUUAAGCACAACAAGCUAAACAUCAACCAAAUAUAUCCAUGGUAGAAAACAUAAUCUACAAAUGAUAGCUUCAGUGUGCAGGCUUAAGCACGCUAGUUAAGCAAAACAAGAAGUGAAAAGGUGUGUUAACUGCAUCACACAUAACAUUUAUAAACAAGCAAAUAGUCAUUCAAACCGGUAUUGUGUAGGUCUAAAGUACACUAGUUAUUGUUUAAAAAAUGAAAAGGCAUGUUAACUGCAAUAUCCUUAAUAGCAACCAAAUAUCGUAAUUCAUAGUGGUAUUGUUGAAACUGUUAUUGAUGAAAUUGAAUUGCACGGCAAAUAGUUGCACAUAUACACUAAUUGUUUUAGUCCUUUAACUUUUAAAGGAUCGGCUAGAGAUGGCCUUAUGCCUUGUUUAUUUCAGUUCUUCACAAUGUGAUGCUCUAUAUGUGCAACUACUUGCCGUGCAAUUUUUGGCCGUUUCUAGUCGAUCCCCUAAACUUAAUAUUGUAAACUUCAAUUUGAUCAAGUUCAAAGCCGGUUCAACCGAAAGUAGCAUGCAUUCAAACAUAAACAUAGAUAGUUUUGCAUAACCAAACAUAAAACAUAAAUUUAAACUAAGCUAAACUACUAUCAGUCGAAGUAGAGGUCGAGCCAAUCCUUUCUCAUCAGGUACGGUGUGACACGAGCCGGGUCCGGGCCGGUGCCAUCAUUGGGGUCGUUGGGGAAGGCACUCCUCCACUCGUCGACAUCGAUCUCCUCGUCCUCGCCGCCCACUGAUACGUCCAUUCUGCAUAAUGCUUUUAUAUCGAUAUUUAUUGCAAUAUGGGAUAUUACUACACAUUAUGUCACAAUACUUAUGCCUUUUCCCUCUUAUUUUACAAGGUAUUACAUGAAGAGGGGGAAUGCCGGCAGCUGGAUUCUAGGCUGGAAAAGGAGCAAAUAUUAGAGACCUAUUCUGCACAACUCCAAAAGUCCUGAAUCUCCACGAAAGUCAGUUUUGGAAUAUAUUAAAAAUAUUGCGCGAAGAAUGCACCAGAGGGGGGCCUCCCACUGUUAAUGAGGGCGGGGGCACGCCCUAUCCCCCUGGGCGCGCGCCCCUACCUCAUGGGCCACCUGGAAGCCCCCGAUGCCCAUCUUCUGGUAUAAGGUGUCUUUUGCCUUGGAAAAAAUCAUAAGGAAGCUUUCGGGACGAAGCGCCGCCAUCUCGAGGCAGAACCUUGGCGGAACCAAUCGAGGGCUCCGGAGGAGUUGUUCUGCCGGGGAAACAUCCCUCAGGGAGGGGGAAAUCGUCACCAUCGUCAUCAUCAUCGAUCCUCUCAUCGAGAGGGGGUCAAUCUCCAUCAACAUCUUCACCAGCACCAUCCCCUCUCAAACCCUAGUUCAUCUCUUGUAUCCGAUAUUUGUCUCAAAACCUCAGAUUGGUACCUGUGGGUUGCUAGUAGUGUUGAUUACUCCUUGUAGUUGAUGCUAGUUGGUUUAUUCGGUGGAAGAUCAUAUGUUCAGAUCCUUUAUACAUAUUAAUACCCCUAUGAUCAUGAACAUGAAUAUGAUUUGUGAGUAGUUACGUUUGUUCCUAAGGACAUGGUAGAAGUCUUGUUAUAAGUAGUCAUGUGAAUUUGGUAUUCGUUCGAUAUUUUGAUGAGGUGUAUGUUGUCUCUCCUCUAGUGGUGUUAUGUGAACGUCGACUACAUGACACUUCACCGUUGUUUGGGCCUAGAGGAAGGCAUUGGUAAGUAAUAAGUAGAUGAUGGGUUGCUAGAGUGACAAAAGCUUAAACCCUAGUUUAUGCGUCGCUUCGUAAGGGGCUGAUUUGGAUCCAUAUGAUUCAUGCUAUGUUAGGUUUACCUUAAUUCUUCUUUCGUAGUUGCUGAUGCUUGCGAGAGGGGUUAAUCAUAAGUGGGAUGCUUGUCCAAGGAAGGGCAGUACCCAAGCACCGGUCCAUCCACAUAUCAAAUUAUCAAAGUAACGAACGCAAAUCAUAUGAGCAUGAUGAAAACUAGCUUGAUGAUAAUUCCCAUGUGUCCUCGGGAGCGCUUUCCUUUAUAUAAGAGUUUGUCUAGGCUUUUCCUUUGCUACAAAAAGGAUUGGUCCACCUUGCUGCACCUUGUUUACUUUUGUUACUUGUUACCCGUUACAAAUUACCUUAUCACAAAACUAUUUGUUACCGAUAAUUUCAGUGCUUGCAGAGAAUACCUUACUGAAAACCGCUUGUCAUUUCCCUCUGCUCCUUGUUGGGUUCGACACUCUUACUUAUCAAAAGGACUACGAUAGAUACCAUAUACUUGUGGGUCAUCAAGACUCUUUUUUGGCGCCGUUUCCGAGGAGUGAAGCGCCUUUGGUAGGUGGAAUUUGGUAUGGAAAAAUUUAUAUAGUGUGCUGAAAUUUACUGUCACUUGUUACUAUGGAAAAUAAUCCUUUGAGGGGCUUGUUCGGGGUAUUUUCACCCCGACCAGUAGAGUAAAGAGUUUCUCCUCAACCUACUGAACCUACAGAAAAUGUUUACUUUGAAAUGCCUUCGGGUAUGAUAGAGAAACUGCUAGCUAAUCCCUUUACAGGAGAUGGAACAUUACAUCCCGAUAUGCACCUAAUCUAUGUGGAUGAAGUUUGUGGAUUAUUUAAGCUUGCAGGUAUGCCGAGGAUGUUAUCAAGAAGAAGGUAUUCCCUUUAUGUUUGAAGGGAAAGGCAUUGACAUGGUUUAGGCUAUAUUAUGAUAUUGGAUCAUGGAACUACAACCGAUUGAAACUGGAAUUUCAUUAGAAGUUUUAUCCUAUGCAUCUAGUUCAUCAUGAUCGCAAUUAUAUAUAUAAUUUUUGGCCUCGCGAAGGAGAAAGUAUCGCUCAAGCUUGGGGGAGGCUUAAGUCAAUGUUAUAUUCAUGCCUCAAUCAUGAGCUCUCAAGAGAAAUUAUUAUUCAAAAAAAUUAUGCUCGGCUUUCUCUUAAUAAUCGCUCCAUGCUCGAUACUUCUUGCACUGGUUCUUUUGUGAUGAAGACUAUUGAAUUUAGAUGGGAUUUAUUGAAAAGAAUUAAACGCAACUCUAAGAUUUGGAACUCGGGGAAGGUAAUGAGUCAGGUAUAACACCUAAGUUUGAUUGUGUUAAAUAUUUUAUGGAUACCGAAGCUUUUCAUGAAUUUAGCACUAAAUAUGGACUUGACUCUGAGAUAGUAGCUUCUUUCUACGAAUCAUUUGCUACUCAUGUUGAUCUCCCUAAGGAGAAGUGGUUUAAAUAUCAUCCUCCCAUUGAAGUAAAAGUAGUAGAACCUAUUAAAGUUGAAGAAAAGACUAUCACUUAUAAUGUUGACCCUAUUGUUCCUACCGCUUAUAUUGAGAAACAACCUUUCCCUGUUAGAAUAAAGGAUCAUGCUAAAGCUUCAACUGUGGUUCGUAAGAGUAAUGCUAGAACACCUACACCCCCUGAGCAAAUUAAAGUUGAACCUAUUAUUGCUAUGGUUAAAGAUCUCUUGGUCAAUAAUAUUGAUGGGCAUGUUAUUUACUUAUGUGAUGAAGCUGCUAGAAUUGCUAGACCUGAUACUAAAGGUAAACAUAGACCUAUUGUUGGCAUGCCUGUUGUUUCUGUUAAAAUAGGAGAUCAUUGUUAUCAUGAAUUAUGUGAUAUGGGUGCUAGUGCGAGCGCAAUACCUCAUUCCUUAUACAAAUAAAUUAUGCAUGAUAUUGCACCUGCUGAAAUAGAAGAUAUUGAUGUUACUAUUAAUCUUGACAAUAGAGAUACUAUUUCACCAGUCGGGAUUGUUAGAGAUGUUGAAGUCUUGUGUGGCAAAAUUAAACAUCCUACUGAUUUUCUUGUUCUUGGUUCCCCACAAGAUGACUUUUGUCCCAUUAUAUUUGGUAGACCCUUCUUGAACACUGUUAAUGCUAAGAUAGAUUGUGAAAAGGAUAUCGUUACUGUUGGUUUAGGGGAUAUGUCUCAUGAUUUUAAUUUUGCUAAAUUCUGUAGUCAACCCCAUGAUAAAGAAUUGCCUAGUAAAGAUGAAAUUAUUGAUCUUGCUUCUAUUGCCGUGCCUCCUAAUUAUCCUUUAGAACAAUAUUUGCUAGACCAUGGAAAUGAUAUGUUUAUGAAUGAAAGAAGGGAAAUAGAUGAAGUAUUCUUUAAAUAGGGACCUAUUUUGAAACACAACUUGCAUGUUGAAAUCCUAGGGGAUCCUCCUCCACCCAAGGGCGACCCCGUGUUUGAGCUUAAACCAUUACCUGAUACUCUUAAAUAUGCUUAUCUUGAUGAAAAGAAGAUAUAUCUUGUUAUUAUUAGUGCUAACAUUUCAGAGCAGGAAGAAGAGAAAUUAUUGAAAACUCUGAAAAAGCACCGUGCUGCUAUUAGAUAUACUCUUGAUGAUCUUAAGGGAAAUAGUCCCACUCUAUGCCAACACAAAAUAAAAGUGGAUAAAGACGCUAAACCGGUUGUUGAUCAUCAACGACGGUUAAAUCCUACGAUGAAAGAAGUGGUAUGAAAUGAAAUACUAAAGCUUCUGGAGGCAGGUAUAAUUUAUCCCGUUGCUGAUAGUCAGUGGGUAAGUCAUGUCCAUUGUGUCCCUAAGAAGGGAGGUAUUACUGUUGUUCCUAAUGAUAAAGAUGAAUUGAUCCCACAAAGAAUAGUUACAUGUUAUAGAAUGGUAAUUGAUUUCCGCAAAUUAAAUAAAGCUACUAGAAAAGAUCAUUACCCUUUACCUUUUAUUGAUCAAAUGCUAGAAAGAUUACCCAAACAUACACGUUUUUGCUUUCUAGAUGGUUAGUCUAGUUUCUCUCAAAUAUCUGUGUCAAAAGAGGAUCAGGAAAAUACCACUUUUACUUGCCCUUUCGGUACCUUUGCUUAUAGACAUAUGCAUUUUGGUUUAUGUAAUGCACCUGCUACCUUUCAAAGAUGUAUGACUGCUAUAUUCUCUGACUUUUGUGAAAAGAUUGUUGAGGUUUUCAUGGAUGAUUUCUCUGUGUAUGGAACCUCUUUUGAUGAUUUCUUAAGCAACCUUGAUCGAGUCUUGCAGAGAUGCGAAGAAACUAAUCUUGUCUUGAAUUGGGAGAAGUGCCACUUUAUGGUUAAUGAAGGUAUUGUCUUGGGGCAUAAAAUUUAUGAAAGAGGUAUUGAAGUUGAUAAAGCUAAAGUUGAUGCUAUUGAAAAGAUGCCGUGUCCUAAGGACAUCAAAGGUAUAAGAAGUUUCCUUGGUCAUGCCGGUUUUUAUAGGAGGUUCAUUAAAGACUUCUCUAAAAUUUCUAGGCCUCUGACUAAUCUCUUACAAAAAGAUGUUCCUUUUGUCUUUGAUGAUGAUUGUGUAGAAGCAUUUGAAAUACUUAAGAAAGCCUUGAUUUCUGCACCUAUUGUUCAGCCUCCUGAUUGGAAUUUACCGUUCGAAAUCAUGUGUGAUGCUAGUGAUUAUGUUGUAGGUGCUUUUCUAGGACAAAGAGUUGAUAAGAAAUUAAUUGUUAUCCAAUAUGCUAGUAAAACUCUAUACAGUGCCCAGAGAAAUUAUGCUACUACUGAAAAAGAAUUUUUAGAAGUUAUAUUUGCUUGUGAUAAGUUUAGACCUUAUAUUGUUGAUUCCAAAGUAACUGUUCACACUGAUCAUGCUACUAUUAAAUACCUUAUGGAAAAGAAAGAUGCUAAACCUAGACUUAUUAGAUGGGUUCUCUUGCUACAAGAAUUUGAUUUGCAUAUUAUUGAUAGAAAGGGAGCUGAGAACCCCGUGGCAGACAACUUGUCUAGGUUAUAGAAUGUUCUUGAUGACCCACUACCUAUUGAUGAUAGCUUUCCUGAUGAACAAUUAGCUGUCAUAAAUGCUUCUCGUACUGCUCCAUGGUAUGCUGAUUAUGCUAAUUACAUUGUUGCUAAAUUUAUACCACCUAGUUUCACAUACCAGCAAAAUAAAAAGUUUUCUAUGAUUUAAGACAUUACUUCUGGGAUGACCCACACCUUUAUAAAGGAGUAGAUGGUGUUAUUAGACGUUGUGUACCUGAGCAUGAACAUGAACAGAUCCUACGCAAGUGUCACUCCGAGGCUUAUGCAGGGCACCACGCUGGAGAUAGAACUGCACAUAAGGUAUCACAUUCCGGUUUUUAUUGGCCUACUCUCUUCAAAGAUGCCCGUAAGUUUUUCUUGUCUUGCGAUGAAUGUCAAAGAAUUGGUAAUAUUAGUAGACAUCAAGAAAUGCCUAUGAACUAUUCACUUGUUAUCGAACCAUUUGAUGUUUGGGGCUUCGAUUAUAUAGGACCUUUUCCUUCCUCUAAUGGGUAUACACAUAUUUUAGUCGCUGUUGAUUACGUUACUAAGUGGGUAGAAGCUAUUCCAACUAGUAGGGCUGAUCAUAACACCUCUAUUAAGAUGCUUAAAGAAGUUAUUUUUCCGAGGUUUGGAGUCCCUAGAUAUUUAAUGACUAAUGGUGGUUCACAUUUUAUUCAUGGUGCUUUUCGUAAGAUGCUUGCUAAGUAUGAUGUUAAUCAUAGAAUUGCCUCUCCAUACCAUCCACAGUCUAGCGGUCAAGUAGAAUAAGUAAUAGAGAGCUUAAACUAAUUUUGCAAAAGACUGUUAAUAUAUCUAGAAUCCAAGAAACUUGAUGAUGCAUUAUGGGCCUAUAUAACUUCAUAUAAAAAUCCUAUGGGUAUGUCUCCGUAUAAAAUGGUUUAUGGAAAAGCAUGUCACUUACCUCUCGAACUAGAACAUAAGGCAUAUUCGGCCAUUAAAGAGCUCAAUUAUGAUUUCAAACUUGCCAGUGAGAAGAGGCUAAUUGACAUUAGCUCACUUGAUGAAUGGAGAACCCAUGCCUAUGAGAAUGCCAAACUGUUUAAAGAAAAAGUUAAAAGAUGGCAUGACAAAAGGAUACAAAAGCGUGAGUUUAAUGUAGGUGAUUAUGCUUUGCUAUACAACUCUGGUUUUAGAUUUUUUGCAGGAAAACUUCUCUCUAAAUGGGAAGGUCCUUACAUUAUCGAGGAGGUCUAUCGUUUCGGUGCCAUAAAAAUCAACAACUUCGAAGGCACAAAUCCGACGGUGGUGAACGGUCAAAGAAUCAAACAUUAUAUCUCAGCUAAUCCCAUAAAUGUUGAAACCAAUGUUAUUGAUACCGUAACCCCAGAGGACUACAUAAGGGACACUUUCCAGAAUGUUUCAGACUCCAAAAAGGAAUAGGUAUGUGGUACGGUAAGUAAACCGACUCCAAAACAGUUCUAAUAGCAAUUUUUCUCUGUUUUGGAAUAUUUAAGAAAAUAGGAAAUUAAGAAAUAGUCCGGAAAGGACACGAGGCGUCCACGAGGGUGGAGGGCGUGCCCUACCCCCCUGGGCGCGCCCCCUGCCUCGUGGUCACCUCGUGUGCCCUUCGGACUCCGUUUUCUUGCACGAUACUUCUUUUGGACGGUAAAAUUCAUUAUAUAAUCUCCCAAAGGUUUUGACCACCGUACCACAAUGAAAUCUUUUGUUUUUGUUUUGAGUUGUUUCUGCCGCAGAUUAGAGCAAUAUGUCAUCCCAGGAUUCGGAUGGAGAAAUCUAUGUGGCUGAUUACCUUGCAGACCCCAAGGUCUACGGGGACUUGGAGCAUUGUGGUUGGACCACGGAGGAAGAACAAGACUAUGACCCUAAGGGAAAGGAGGAGACGAGCUCAGAUGAAGAUGAAGUCCCACUACCUCAACCUGGGGACAUGCACGUGGAGUUUAAAAAGUCAAGCCUCCCAGAUAGAGCAAAGAAACCCAAGAUCGAGUUUAUCCCUUUUCGUCUCUUGCAGGAGAACAAACAGGAAUUAUGCAAAAAGAUAUUAAGCCUUGAGCAAGAGAUCGAUGACCUAAGGGAGCAAAAUUCUAUCCUCAAGCGCAAAUUAAGGAAGAAGUCUACAUCAUCAAUAACUCCAUCACCACCACCUCCGAAGAUACAUAAACACAUGGGUAUGGGCACUCCCCUUGGCAACUGCCAAGCUUGGGGGAGGUGCCCCGAUAUCGUAUCACCAUCACACUUCUAUCUUUAUCGUUUUUCUUAGUUUGAUCCUUUUGGUUGUAUCUUGAUCUAGUAGAAUAAAGUUUAGUAUGAUCUAGCUUUGAGUUUUGUGUUGAUCCCUAUCUAUGUAAUCGAGUCCGUGAGCUAUAUAUAAUAAAGAUUAGUUAUGAUUCGAGGGCUUUGCUAUCUUGCUAUGAUCUUGAGGGAAUAAAAGAAAAAGAAAGAAUAAAAAAAACAAAGAGAUCAUAUUGAUCUUAUGGAGAGUGAUGACUUCACAUAUAAAGAGUAUGAUGAAUAAAAGUUGUUGAGUGUUGACAAACAUAGCAUCGUUGCAAUUAAUAGGAAGUAAUAAAGAAAGAGAGGUUUCACAUAUAAAUAUACUAUCUUGGACAUCUUUUAUGAUUGUGAGCACUCAUUAAAAUAUGACAUGCUAAAAA
rnacentral:lncRNA from 1 species